AGAGUUUGAUCAUGGCUCAGAUUGAACGCUGGCGGCAGGCCUAACACAUGCAAGUCGAACGGUAACAGGAAGAAGCUUGCUUCUUUGCUGACGAGUGGCGGACGGGUGAGUAAUGUCUGGGAAACUGCCUGAUGGAGGGGGAUAACUACUGGAAACGGUAGCUAAUACCGCAUAACGUCGCAAAACCAAAGAGGGGGACCUUCGGGCCUCUUGCCAUCGGAUGUGCCCAGAUGGGAUUAGCUAGUAGGUGGGGUAACGGCUCACCUAGGCGACGAUCCCUAGCUGGUCUGAGAGGAUGACCAGCCACACUGGAACUGAGACACGGUCCAGACUCCUACGGGAGGCAGCAGUGGGGAAUAUUGCACAAUGGGCGCAAGCCUGAUGCAGCCAUGCCGCGUGUAUGAAGAAGGCCUUCGGGUUGUAAAGUACUUUCAGCGGGGAGGAAGGGAGUAAAGUUAAUACCUUUGCUCAUUGACGUUACCCGCAGAAGAAGCACCGGCUAACUCCGUGCCAGCAGCCGCGGUAAUACGGAGGGUGCAAGCGUUAAUCGGAAUUACUGGGCGUAAAGCGCACGCAGGCGGUUUGUUAAGUCCGAUGUGAAAUCCCCGGGCUCAACCUGGGAACUGCAUCUGAUACUGGCAAGCUUGAGUCUCGUAGAGGGGGGUAGAAUUCCAGGUGUAGCGGUGAAAUGCGUAGAGAUCUGGAGGAAUACCGGUGGCGAAGCGGCCCCUGGACGAAGACUGACGCUCAGGUGCGAAAGCGUGGGGAGCAACAGGAUUAGAUANCCCUGGUAGUCCACGCCGUAAACGAUGUCGACUUGGAGGUUGUGCCCUUGAGGCGUGGCUUCCGGAGCUAACGCGUUAAGUCGACCGCCUGGGGAGUACGGCCGCAAGGUUAAAACUCAAAUGAAUUGACGGGGGCCCGCACAAGCGGUGGAGCAUGUGGUUUAAUUCGAUGCAACGCGAAGAACCUUACCUGGUCUUGGCUUAUUCAGAGAACUGGUCAACACUUGUCUCUCCCAGCCAGGUCUGACCACCGGGCAACUUUUAGAGCACUAUCGUGGUACAAGAUAAUGCUGCCACCCUUGAAAAACUGUCGAUGUGGGACGAUAUAGCAGAUAAGAAUAUUGCUGAGCAAACCUUCACCGACUCACUCAACCAUAUGUUUGAUUC
rnacentral:rRNA from 1 species